rnacentral:lncRNA from 1 species
AUGCUCAAAGUGAUUGUGCAGAAUCAAGUUAUAUUCUGCGCUCUUGGAAACCAGUUAGAACUGCUUUAUAUAGUUGCCCACAAUAACCUUGGACCUGAACCAACCACUUAGCAGCACUUCCUGCACCUGUGUAUAAGCUUUUAUGGAAUUUGCAUUUAUAAGCUGCCCCUGGGAUAGACCCCAAUAUAAAAGAGACAUCUGCUCCUACUUAAAAUAAGACUUCCAUUUUGAAUAGGGGUCAAAGAAAUUUUAAGUUCCCAAGACAUCUAUGGGCUCUGACGUCCUACUUGACAGAAAGAGCCAUGUACAUGGGUAACUGACAUCCUGAUUGGCAAGACGUAAAUUUUAGACAAGAAAAGACCCAUCCUGAUUUACAAGGUCCUGAGUCUCCACUAUUGUCCUGAUCUAUCAGUCUUGGGGUACAUGCUCAACAAAAUAUCCCUGUCUGAGAUCAGCAUCCAUAUGG